GAUUAAAACACUUGUCCUGAGCACUAUGCAAUAAACUAAAGUAACAUCAGGUUGCUUUUCCAGGCUCUACAUUGUACCUAAAGUGCUGCUGAGCCAGCCAUUUGGAUCUGUAGAGGGAUGCCCAGAAGUAUUCAUCUUACUCCUAAAAACACUUUUUUUCUAUUUCUGUAGCUACGUCAGAAAAAGACUGGGAGGAUGAAUGUACUAUACGCCAUGGCCAUUUAAUAAUGAUGAACCACACAUUGUAAGAGCUGUCUACAACAGAACCCUUGGCAACACACAUUAGAAAUUUAUUACAUGUCUCAGCUUUAUUACCCUAAUGAAGUAUCACACAGUCCCCUGCCAUGGUGGCCAUCAUCAUCAUCAUCACCAUCAUCAUCAUCAUCAUCGUCGUCCUCGUCGUCAUCACUGUCAGAAUCAUCAUAGCCCUUUGGGGAAGAAGGACCAAAUGGGAAGGCAUGAACCUAAGGGAGAGGAUAAGUUACAGAGAAAGGGACGCAGCAAAGCAAGAGGAAAUGGAAUGAGACUGAGAGCGGUAAAGAAGGAAUUCACAAGAGAGAAGAGGAAAGUUAAAUAUGAAAGAUAUAAAGAGGAAGCAUAUACAUCAGCUGUGAAAUGUCAAGGUAAAACUCUUGGAGCCAUUGCAAGAAGCUGUGUCAAAACAAAAAUUUGAGGUUCCAGGUUCUUACUGAGAAGAACACAUAGUCAAGGGUGAAGUUCAAUGUCACAUGCAAAGAAGGAAACUAUAGGUUGUUAAAUGGGGGAAUUGGACCACUGGAGUUUUCCUCAACAUCUUAUAGAGAAGUCUGUACUUCCUGCAUGACCUAGGAAAAGACCAGAAAGCCAAAGGAGUGCCUUUUCUGAGAAAGGCUGACCAGUGCCCUACAUUUCUGUUCCCCAGAGUUGCUUACUUGUUCCCUCAACUCUGAUGUCUGCCUGCAGAUAGACCACAGUUACUGAAAAUUGUCCUUUUCCGUCUGUUUCUUAAGCUGAAAGCAACAAUAACAUUACCUUCAAAGGCUAUUCUAAGAGUUGAAACGUUAUAAAGAUAACAAAUUAUAUGUCACAGAGUUUUUAUAAUAUCUUAAAGAUUCAGGCCAGAAGCAUAUGGAUGUCUUGGGAGACCCCUAUGUUCUAAAAAAAAAAUCUAAAAGAUGGAUCUAAAAUCUAAAUCAAGGAUGAUGUAUGUGUAAGUCAAGGGCAUCCAUUGUUACCUUCCUCUCUGCUGUGCAAUUCUUAGGCAGCCUGGUCUUUAUUGACUUCUAGCCUCUAAAUUUCUGCAGCUUUUAGUUUCUAACACAGAGGUACACCCACAUCUUGACGUCCUUUGUCCACACAUCUUUUUCUGGACAGCAGUCUUCUCCGAGAAGAAGCUGAAAACUCCUUGAGAACAGUGAUAACUGUCAGUUGUUUUUGUGUCCUCUGCGGUACCUAACACAAGGUCACUCUCGGACUUGUUUGGUUCCUGUUGAUUUUUAAUCAGCAAAACAUUCCCUUCUAUAACAGUGAUUGUCAAUACUGCUUGCACAUUACAUUCACUGAGGACAUUUUAUAAGACAGUGAUGUUCAACUCCAUCACCAGAGUCUGCUUUAGUUGGCCUUGGAUAAAAUGUGGGCAUUUCUCUAACUUUUCCUCAGGUGAUUAUAAUUUACUUGUUAAGGGGAAUUCUAUAAGCUGGGUGGUGAGAUGAAAGCAGUCAAAUUUUCAUAUUGACCUGAACUAUACUAAAGUUGAAAAGGUUAAUUAUCUGGGAAUCUUAAAGGUUCUUUAACACAUGAUCUCUGAAGACCCUGGGGAAUGGGAGUCUAAUAUGCACCACAGUUGAUAUCUACUGUAGAGCUAGUGUGAAAAUAUCACUGUAUAGGCUCCGUAGUAGCACCUACAUGGAAAUGAAAGAAGGCAAAGGUGACCGUGGGAAGGUGGCCCAGGGGAGUAUUGUUUGAGAUGAUGCCUGGCAUUUGAUAAACACUCGAUUAAAUAAAAUAAAACAGGUCUCUUUAGUAUACGCCUUUUCAGAAUCUUCAGUAAUCUAAUAUGUGGUGAAUUUCCAAAGAGAAUACUAUGUAUGUAUUCCGAGGUUUAAUUUACUCAGAGCAAAUAUGGCUCCCGUACAUCUCAUUUAAGGAAAUCCUACUUAACACGAAUUAAGUAUAGAAUGGGCUAGAUCAGUAGGGAAUGUUAAAGUGGGACAAGUGGGAUGAUUUUAUUCUAGAAGUUAAGAAGAUUUGUGAUAAAUCUCCUAGGACUCAUAAAUCUUCUUAAUCUUUAAAAGAUUGUGAAAGGAACCUCAAAUUGGAAUGAAUGGCUGUUUACGUAAAUAGCAUUCAACACCUCAUGCUAAUAUGUUCAGUUUUGCUCAUUGAUGAUUAAUCACAUUUUAAAACAUGUAAUUAUUUAUUCCAAUUUCCAAAAAAUGAGGAGCUUACUUCAAUAUUUCUAAUUGUCAGAAAAGAAGUAUAAAUAGAGGAGGAAUUAUUAUAUUCAUGAUUUAAGAGAGAAGUCUAUGAAUUACUAAUCUUUGAGGCCAGCCUGUUUUAUAACAUGCUGCAAAAGGACUGAUAGUUAAUGCACACUAGAUAAGAAUUAUAUUUUAGAGGAAGAGCUUCAUGGAAACUUAGAGAGGAAAUUAAUGAAAUUGACCAUUAUAGGCAUUUUACUGUACAAAUAUGGCUGCAGAGAUUAUUCACUGAUUAACCUUUGCAUGUUAGAUAUGCCUAAGUGGAAUUUGAAUGUCGUGAACCUUAUUUUAUUUAUGACUUUGGAAAAUGGGGAAACCAGUAAGAGGAUACAUGUAAUUCAAAAGAGUAUCUAGAGAACAAGCAUGUUUGAUACAUCAGGAAUACUAGAAUGAAUUGCAAAUGGACUCCAAAAUGGCUGUAUCCAUAGUGAGAGAGUGUAUUCAUCACCUCUCCCAUUGCUGAGAUACAAUACUCAAUACUUAAAACUUAAAGGAGGAGAGGUUUCAUUUAGCUCACAAUUUUAGGUGAUUCAUUCCAUGGUCAGGUGGCUCUAAGGUAGAAACAUCACGUUGGAAGGAUGUGUCAGAGUAAAGAUGCUGAGGGACACAGAGCAAGGGAAUAGUGCUAGAGAGGAAGGAGCAAGAGACCGGAUUUAGACUCCAAGACCAUGCCUCUGUGGCUCACCCAGAUAUACCCAGGAAUGUGCUUUAUCAGUCCCCUGGGCAGCUCCCAGGCCAAAAAAGUCACAGUUAAAUUUAACUGUCACAGAGAGGGAAGUCUUUCAAACUCCACGGAGCAGAAUUUAUCUUCAUGAUUAUAAACAAGAAUUCUUUGUACUCCUAUCAGUUACCUACAACUUACACAGUUGUAAAGUAGUUCAAAGGCAGACUGGAAUCCCCAUGAGAUAUGAAAACAUGGAAGGGUAUUCUUUAAACAAUGUAUAUAGUUUUGAAGAAUUAACUCUGAUUCAUUGAUUCUUUGUAUUUUUUUUCCUCAUUGCUUUCUGCUCUGAUAUUUAUAAUAUACUGGCUUUGGAUUUGGACCAUUUUUGGUUUUCUAGGACCAUGAGAUACAUCAUUAGGUUAUUUAUUUGAGCCCACUCUGUGUUUCUGUUGUGAGUGUUCACAGCUAUAAACUGCCUUUAUAGGAUCCCUUUCAUUGUGUCCCAAGGGUUCUGGUAUGUUAUACUGGCAAUAUUGUUUGAUUCUAGGAACUGUCUCAUUUCUUCUUCAAUUUCUUCUGUGGC
ensembl:lincRNA